rnacentral:rRNA from 1 species
GGGGAGUGCGUCUGGUCCUUGAGAACUCAACAGCGUGCACAUUGUCAAUGCCAAUUUAUUGAUUGACCUCGUGCCUGGCCUUCCUUCGGGUUGGUUGGGUUUGAGACAAUUCCUUUUGGAUUGAAGAUUGUCAGUAGACAGUCAACAGUCAGAAUCAACUCGGUCUGGCACCUUUUGGGUGUUGGGUCUGUAUUUUUUUACGGAGAGUUUGAUCCUGGCUCAGGACGAACGCUGGCGGCGUGCUUAACACAUGCAAGUCGAACGAUGAUGCCCAGCUUGCUGGGUGGAUUAGUGGCGAACGGGUGAGUAACACGUGAGUAACCUGCCCCUGACUCUGGGAUAAGCGUUGGAAACGACGUCUAAUACUGGAUAUGAUCACUGGCCGCAUGGUCUGGUGGUGGAAAGAUUUUUUGGUUGGGGAUGGACUCGCGGCCUAUCAGCUUGUUGGUGAGGUAAUGGCUCACCAAGGCGACGACGGGUAGCCGGCCUGAGAGGGUGACCGGCCACACUGGGACUGAGACACGGCCCAGACUCCUACGGGAGGCAGCAGUGGGGAAUAUUGCACAAUGGGCGAAAGCCUGAUGCAGCAACGCCGCGUGAGGGAUGACGGCCUUCGGGUUGUAAACCUCUUUUAGUAGGGAAGAAGCGAAAGUGACGGUACCUGCAGAAAAAGCACCGGCUAACUACGUGCCAGCAGCCGCGGUAAUACGUAGGGUGCAAGCGUUGUCCGGAAUUAUUGGGCGUAAAGAGCUCGUAGGCGGUUUGUCGCGUCUGCUGUGAAAUCCCGAGGCUCAACCUCGGGCUUGCAGUGGGUACGGGCAGACUAGAGUGCGGUAGGGGAGAUUGGAAUUCCUGGUGUAGCGGUGGAAUGCGCAGAUAUCAGGAGGAACACCGAUGGCGAAGGCAGAUCUCUGGGCCGUAACUGACGCUGAGGAGCGAAAGCAUGGGGAGCGAACAGGAUUAGAUACCCUGGUAGUCCAUGCCGUAAACGUUGGGCGCUAGAUGUAGGGACCUUUCCACGGUUUCUGUGUCGUAGCUAACGCAUUAAGCGCCCCGCCUGGGGAGUACGGCCGCAAGGCUAAAACUCAAAGGAAUUGACGGGGGCCCGCACAAGCGGCGGAGCAUGCGGAUUAAUUCGAUGCAACGCGAAGAACCUUACCAAGGCUUGACAUACACCGGAAACGGCCAGAGAUGGUCGCCCCCUUGUGGUCGGUGUACAGGUGGUGCAUGGUUGUCGUCAGCUCGUGUCGUGAGAUGUUGGGUUAAGUCCCGCAACGAGCGCAACCCUCGUUCUAUGUUGCCAGCGGGUUAUGCCGGGGACUCAUAGGAGACUGCCGGGGUCAACUCGGAGGAAGGUGGGGAUGACGUCAAAUCAUCAUGCCCCUUAUGUCUUGGGCUUCACGCAUGCUACAAUGGCCGGUACAAAGGGCUGCGAUACCGUAAGGUGGAGCGAAUCCCAAAAAGCCGGUCUCAGUUCGGAUUGAGGUCUGCAACUCGACCUCAUGAAGUCGGAGUCGCUAGUAAUCGCAGAUCAGCAACGCUGCGGUGAAUACGUUCCCGGGCCUUGUACACACCGCCCGUCAAGUCAUGAAAGUCGGUAACACCCGAAGCCGGUGGCCUAACCCUUGUGGAAGGAGCCGUCGAAGGUGGGAUCGGUGAUUAGGACUAAGUCGUAACAAGGUAGCCGUACCGGAAGGUGCGGCUGGAUCACCUCCUUUCU